UACGUAGGGGGCGAGCGUUGUCCGGAUUUAUUGGGCGUAAAAGGCUUGUAGGUGGCCACGCCAAGUCGGAUGUGAAAUCUCCCGGCUCAACUGGGAGGGGUCAUUCGAUACUGGCGGGCUCGAGGCCGGUAGGGGGAAGUGGAAUUCCCGGUGUAGUGGUGGAAUGCGUAGAUAUCGGGAGGAACACCAGUGGCGAAGGCGGCUUCCUGGACCGGUUCUGACACUGAGGAGCGAAAGCGUGGGGAGCGAUCCGG
rnacentral:rRNA from 2 species